rnacentral:lncRNA from 1 species
GUUAUUGAUUGACUGAUAACUUGGUCCUACUUUAUUUUUAUUUUUGGACUACAUGCAUUUUCAUCCCCUGACUACAUUCCAGUUGAUGCCGGGGAAAUUUAUUCUGGAGACAAGAUGACUUGGUGGGAUAGAACAACUGUCUUCUUCUUCUUCUUCUUCUUUCUGAGAAAGGUUGGAGUUUGGGAAUGCAAAACUCCCAGCACUUUGGGCCAGGAGCAGGCUGGUGGUGGAUGAAUUCUCUAGUUCUCAGGCAAAGGAGUUUAACCUCUUUUGAGCACUAGAGGGCCACUGAGUAACAUCUUCACACUUGUGAGCACAACCUAUGGACCGGACAGUUCCAGAGGUGCUUAAAGGUUUGUAUAAUGCUUUUCUCAAAGCUCCGUGAAAUCAGUAAUGGGAGUAUUAUUAUCUACAUUAUUAAAAUAAUUUUGUUAGACUUCACUUGUACAAGAAACUCUCAGUGAAGGAAUUCCAUCUAUUAGUACAGAUCAACACACCUGUUCUGCUACUCAUAGCCUUAGAGUUAGUUGCCUGGAGGGGCUAAGUGCUUUCUCAGAGUCAUUCCACCAGUAGGUGUCAGAGUGCAGACUUGACGACAGGUUGUCCUGACUGAGGCUGACUCACUAUUCUAUGCUGCUCUUUAUCCCUAGAUUGUAGUCAAGGAAACUGAGGCUCAGAGAAAUUUGGCUACUUCCCCAAGGUCACACAUCUAGUAAAUGGUCACACUCAUCUUUGAAUCCAGGUCUGUCAUUCUGGUUCCAGGACUCUCCCAGAAUGUCUCAGCAGCAGCAGCAACAGUGUUGCCCCCCAAAGCAGCAGUGCUGCCCCCCACAGCAGCAGUGCUGCCCCCCACAGCAGCAGACCAAGCAGCCCUGCCAACCUCCUCCCAAGUGUGCCCCCAAGUGUGCACCCCCUCCCUGCCAGCAGAAGUGUCCACCUGCCCAGCAGUGCCAGAAAUCCAAGCAGAAGUGAGCUCACCCCUCACUCCUUCAGGAAAAACAGAGAGCUCCCCAUCCCCAAGACUCAAGGGCCCCUUCUCCCAGCCAGCCAGCCAGCCAGCCAGCCAGCCAGCCACUCACCUGGCCCAGGUCCCAGCUCGCCUGCUCUUCAAUGCUGUUGUGUUCCUGAAGGCAGCGUCGAGGUGGCGGCUUCCUUAAUCUCUACCUGCUAUUAGUGUGGCACGGAAUCCCUGACAAGGAUCACAUUUGUUGGGAGCGUCUAGUCAUUACCACUAAAAUGUAUCUACAUCUCUUGGCUGGCUUCUUGGAAUCCCCAGGCACUGCGCCCGGAUGCUUUCUCCCAUCGUUCUUCUCUGUUCCUGUUUCCUGAUCUAUUAAAAAUAUAAUUGCUCUAGCACCAACUUUUCUGCCUCCACUUUUAUUUAAAAUAUCCAAUGAUCCUGGAAGAUUAUUCACACCAUGUUUUGGUGUAGCUUCCGACAGAAGCCCUCCCUCAUAUGGGAGUCAAAGUGAAAACAGUAAAUAGUUGAAUAUUUAAAAGAAGCACAGAGCCAUGGAUUUAGGGUUGGAAGGACCCUCGGAGACUUUCUAGUCCAACUGUCUCAUUUUACAGAUGAGGAAAGUGAGGUAUAGAAAGGCGAAAAAACUUGCAUCCUUUGAGAUUGAAGAAUUUAGAGUGGGGAGGAGUUGGGGAGAUAUCUUUAAAGCUUCCGGAGAAGGGAGGGUCAAUAUGCUAACACUUAGAAAAAAGCACAUUGUAGGAAUAUCAAUAAUAUGGAAAUAGGUCUUGAUCAAUGAUACAUGUAAAGCACAGUGGAAUUGUGGGUCGGCUGUGGGGGUGGGGGGGUGGGAAGAGGGGAGGGAAGGAACAUGAUUCUUGUAACCAUGGAAAAAUAUUCUAAAUUAACUAAUUAAAUACCCCCCCCCCAAGGAAAAAAAAAACAUUGUAGGGAGAGGGAGGGCAGGAAGAGAGUCAUGUUGUUGAACGAGAGACUCCUGGAAGGCAGAUGUUGGAAGGGACUUUGG